UACGUAGGGUGCGAGCGUUAAUCGGAAUUACUGGGCGUAAAGCGUGCGCAGGCGGCAGAGCAAGUCGAGUGUGAAAGCCCCGGGCUUAACUUGGGAAUUGCGCUCGAAACUACUUUGCUGGAGUGUGGCAGAGGAAGGUGGAAUUCCACGUGUAGCGGUGAAAUGCGUAGAGAUGUGGAGGAACACCAAUGGCGAAGGCAGCCUUCUGGGCCAACACUGACGCUGAGGCGCGAAAGCGUGGGGAGCGAACAGG
rnacentral:rRNA from 1 species